GAUGAACGCUGGCGGCGUGCCUAAUACAUGCAAGUCGAGCGAACAGACGAGGAGCUUGCUCCUCUGACGUUAGCGGCGGACGGGUGAGUAACACGUGGAUAACCUACCUAUAAGACUGGUAUAACUUCGGGAAACCGGAGCUAAUACCGGAUAAUAUAUUGAACCGCAUGGUUCAUUGGUGAAAGUCGGUUUUGCUGUCAGUUAUCGAUGGUUCCGCGCCGCAUUAGCUAGUUGGUAAGUUAACGGCUUACCAAGGCAACGAUGCGUAGCCGACCGGAGAGGGGGAUCGGCGGCAUUAGAACUGAGACACGGACCAGACUCCUACGAGAGGCAGCAGUAGGGAAUCUUCCGCAGUGGUCGAAAACCUGGCGGAGCAGCGCCGCGUGAGAGAUGAAGGUCUUCGGAUCGUAAAACUCUGUUAUUAGGGAAAAACAGAUGUGUAAGUAACUAUGCACGUCUUGACGGUACCUAAUCAGAAAGCCACGGCUAACUACGUG
rnacentral:rRNA from 1 species